UACGGAGGGUGCAAGCGUUGCUCGGAAUCACUGGGCGUAAAGCGACCGCAGGCGGUCUGACAAGUCGGAUGUGAAAGCCCUGGGCUCAACUCAGGAACAGCAUUCGAAACUGGCAGACUCGAGUACGGGAGAGGGGGGUGGAAGUUCCUGGUGUAGGGGUGGAAAUGCGUAGAUAUCCGGAGGAACACCGGUGGCGAAGGCGGCUUCCUGGACCGACACUGACGCUGAGGCGCGAAAGCUAGGGGAGCAAACGGG
rnacentral:rRNA from 1 species